AAUGAACGCUGGCGGCAGGCCUAACACAUGCAAGUCGAACGAAGCCUUCGGGCUUAGUGGCGGACGGGUGAGUAACGCGUGGGAACGUGCCCUUUGGUUCGGAAUAGCCCCGGGAAACUGGGAGUAAUACCGGAUGAGCCCUACGGGGGAAAGAUUUAUCGCCAAAGGAUCGGCCCGCGUUGGAUUAGGUAGUUGGUGGGGUAAUGGCCUACCAAGCCGACGAUCCAUAGCUGGUUUGAGAGGAUGAUCA
rnacentral:rRNA from 1 species